ACAGAGGGGGCAAGCGUUGUUCGGAAUUACUGGGCGUAAAGGGCGCGUAGGCGGCCUUCUAAGUCGAACGUGAAAUCCCCGGGCUUAACCUGGGAACUGCGUUUGAAACUGGGAGACUUGAGUGUGGCAGAGGGGGGUGGAAUUCCACGUGUAGCAGUGAAAUGCGUAGAUAUGUGGAGGAACACCAAUGGCGAAGGCAGCCCCCUGGGUCAACACUGACGCUCAUGCACGAAAGCGUGGGGAGCAAACAGGA
rnacentral:rRNA from 1 species